ACACCGAUGGCGAAGGCAGCCCCCUGGGUCAAGAUUGACGCUCAUGCACGAAAGCGUGGGGAGCAAACAGGAUUAGAUACCCUGGUAGUCCACGCCCUAAACGAUGUCUACUAGUUGUCGGGUUUUAAUUAACUUGGUAACGCAGCUAAGCGUGAAGUAGACCGCCUGGGGAGUACGGUCGCAAGAUUAAAACUCAAAGGAAUUGACGGGGACCCGCACAAGCGUGGAUGAUGUGGAUUAAUUCGAUGCAACGCGAAAAACCUUACCUACCCUUGACAUGUACGGAAGCCACGAGAGA
rnacentral:rRNA from 1 species